rnacentral:tRNA from 2 species
GCAGAUAUAGCUCAGCUGUACAGAGCGUCCCCCUCCUAAGGGGAAGGUCGAAGGUUAGAAUCCUUUUAUCUGCGCCA